AGCGUGAGGCCCCUGGCAUGCGCACGCCUGGGUGCAGGCCCUCCGUGGUCAGGUGGCAGGCGGCACGGGUCUGUGGUGGGGCUGCCGCACUUGCCCUUGUCACUUACGGAAUGCGCCCCCCUUCUGUCUCCAGUUCCACACUUUCUGUCAUUUGAACACACCCUUGGAAGUCAUUCGGGGUGUGGGCUUGGGAAGUCAUGCGGAGAAAAUGCUCCGCUCGGACAGCUGCCUUCCUUGCAAACUACGCAGGUGACCCCCUCCUGUCCCCACAUGCGUCUGACUCUCUCACUUUGUACUUCUGGGUUUCCUACCAAGGACGGACCUCCCAGAGGCAUGCCCCGCCCUAAUGUGAUUCAGGAAUUUGGGGUGGGCUGGUUCUCAAUAAGAUCCAACGCAUCUACACCCAUAACGGACUGUCACCGUUAACAUCUACUUGCUUUUCCUCUGUCCUAAGCAAUCUGGCUUCACCGCUCUAGGUAAGUCUAGCCCAGAAAGAUAAAAUGUGCAAAUAACUUUAUUGCUAAUAUCAGGAACUUCCCCGGUAUUAAUUUAAACGGGUAUCAGGCCACUGAAUGUACAAUGAACAGCAGUGCCCGACGGUGUGCUUUCAGGGCUUGUUGCGUCCGCUUCUGCUAAACUACAGGUGACCCUCCAACAACACAGAGGUCGGGGGCGCCGACCCUCUCUCUGCACGGGCAGAAAUCCACGUAUAACCUUGACGCUUCAAAACUUCACCACCAACAGCCUACUGUUGACCGCAAGCCUUACCGCUAAGGUCAACUGGAUUAUAUCAUGGAUCGUGACCGGUAACACAGCUCCAAUUCCACUUGAAAGACCGGCCUUGGACCAGAAAGCAGAAACCUCACAACUAUGUCGCCUUUGUCCAAGUCCCUCCCAGACAAAUCCAAGACCGUCAGGGCAAUGCCUGCCUGCGCCAGAGUCAAGAUGUCACGGUUCGUGGGUUUGAGCUCCCACUCAGAGCUCAGACUCUGCGUUGACGAUGAGGAGUCUGCGUGGGGUUCUCUCUCUCCCUCGCUCUCUGCCCCUCCCUUGCUUUCUCUCUCUCUCUCUUUCUCUUUCUCUCUCUGUCAAAUAUAAAUAAAUAAACAUUUUUUGUUUUAAAGCAUC